rnacentral:misc_RNA from 1 species
GAUGAAGAACGCAGCGAAAUGCGAUAAGUAAUGUAAAUUGCAGAAUUCAGUGAAUCAUCGAAUCUUUGAACGCACAUUGCGCCCGCUAGUAUUCUGGCGGGCAUGCCUGUCCGAGCGUCAUUUCAACCCUCAAGCCCCCGGGCUUGGUGUUGGGGAUCGGCGAGCCUCCGCGCCCGCCGUCCCCUAAAUCUAGUGGCGGUCUCGCUGUAGCUUCCUCUGCGUAGUAGCACACCUCGCACUGGGAAACAGCGCGGCCACGCCGUUAAACCCCCAACUUCUGAACGUUUGACCUCGGAUCAGGUAGGAAUACCCGCUGAACUUAAGCAUAUCAAUAAGCGGAGGA